rnacentral:rRNA from 1 species
CCUACGGGAGGCAGCAGUGGGGAAUCUUGCGCAAUGGGGGCAACCCUGACGCAGCCAUGCCGCGUGAAUGAUGAAGGCCUUAGGGUUGUAAAGUUCUUUUGCCCGUGACGAUGAUGACGGUAACGGGAGAAUAAGCUCCGGCUAACUUCGUGCCAGCAGCCGCGGUAAUACGAAGGGGGCUAGCGUUGUUCGGAAUUACUGGGCGUAAAGCGCGCGCAGGCGGUUUUGUAAGUUAGGGGUGAAAUCCCCGGGCUCAACCCGGGAAUGGCCUUUAAGACUGCAAGGCUAGAGGACGAGAGAGGUGAGUGGAAUUCCCAGUGUAGAGGUGAAAUUCGUAGAUAUUGGGAAGAACACCGGUGGCGAAGGCGGCUCACUGGCUCGUUUCUGACGCUGAGGCGCGAAAGCGUGGGGAGCAAACAGGAUUAGAUACCCUGGUAGUCCACGCCGUAAACGAUGAGUGCCAGGUGUCGGGGGACUUAGUCCUUCGGCGCCGCAGCUAACGCCUUAAGCACUCCGCCUGGGGAGUACGGCCGCAAGGUUAAAACUCAAAGGAAUUGACGGAAU